rnacentral:rRNA from 1 species
GACGAACGCUGGCGGCGUGCCUAAUACAUGCAAGUAGAACGCAGUUGCGAACGGGAGAGUAACGCGUAGGGAACUGCCGGGUAGCGGGGGAUAACUAUAGGAAACGAUAGCUAAUACCGCAUACUACUAGAUGGACCUGCGUUGUAUUAGCUAGUUGGUGAGGUAACGGAUCACCAAGGCAACGAUACAUAGCCGACCUGAGGGGGUUGACGGCCGCACUGGGACUGAGAAACGGCCCAGACGCCUACGGGAGACAGCAGUAGGGAAUCAUCGGCAAUGGGGGGAACCCUGACCGAGCAACGCCGCGUGAAUGAAGAAGGUUUUCGGAUCGUAAAGCUCUGUUUUUAAGGAAGCGGUACUUAGCCAGAAAGGGACGGCUAACUACGUGCCAGCAGCCGCGGUAAUUC